UGAGAAGAUAGAAAAACAAAACAAAACAUGUUUUCAACUAUGGUUAUAAUAAUUAUAAAAAUCAAAGACAAGCCUCCAGAGCCCCUUAAGCUGGAUAUCACAGACAAAGCAGACAGUCCUCUGAUGAGCUAUGAUGUGAUCUUUGUGCGGCUAAGCUUUAAGAGGAAUGAUGGAGUUCACAAGCUGGAAAAGUUUGCUGUGAAAUUCCUCAACUUAGGGAGAGAGGAAUGUCAACAGGAACAAUGAAGUCUCUAGGAAAACCAAGGAAAUAAUUUUCACUCCCAGAUACGUUUCUUCUUUUGGAAAUCCCAACAAACCUGAAGAGGGAGUUUCUUGUGGAAUUCAGAAGAGGUGGUGAUAGCAACAAGCAGGUAUUGUCCUGGAUCAUAGUUUUUAAUGACUUUGUGUCAUAAAAUAUAGUUUGCUUUGGACUGCAUUGAAAAGGUGGAUAAUUAAUUUGUUGGCAGAGAAACAUACAUAAGGAACAAACGUAACUUUCUCAGGAACUUAACUGAAGCAUACUGCUGCGCAAUGCUAAAUAUGCUGUACCCACAAGUCAUUCUAGUCAUUUUCUGUCACAUACUGCAACAAUAUUCUGAAAAGAUAUUUACUAUUACUUUUUUCUUAUAUAGUUUUAGAUAAAGAGACCUGGAUAGGAAGUGUUGAUAUUGUUAUCCUAAGGUCAAUAAUUAUAUCAUUUUUGGAGCUAAUGUUGGAAUUAUGAACUUUUAUUUUGUACAUAACUACAGGUCAUAGAACAAUUUACAGGAGUGUGAAACUUCUUGUAGCUACUUAUAUAAUCUGUUUCCAUUUUCUAUUACCAACUAUUUCUAAUUUGGGAGAAAAAUUAUUCAGAAAAUUACUACUUAACUGGAAAAUCUUUUUUUUUUUUUUUUUCUGGCAGAGCUACCUGAGGUUUUAUUUUGGACAAAAAAAUAAAGCAACUAAAUUGUUUUGCAGCUGGAGAAAUGGGCAAGGGGGGUCCCCAGGCAGUAAACUCCCUGGCAGGUGAGCUGAGGACUAGGGCUGACCCUCAGGUGGGUCCCCCGUUCCCUGUGCUACUCUGCACAACGGCCUCCCUCCCGGGCUCUGGGGCAGCCGCAGGAGCAGUAGUCUGGGAGGGGCUUCCGCACCUGUCACUUGGGCAGGACGUCAGGACGUCAGGACCUCAGAGGACUCAGACACCAGCUUCCCAUCGCGGGUCUCAAUCUUCC
rnacentral:lncRNA from 1 species